AUAUUUAUCACCACAAGCAUGUUCGAAUUCCUGCCAAAUAACAACCUUCCUUUAGGCCGGUGAUAAACGCAUGGAAGACUAACACACACAGUCAUCUUAUACUUCAAAAGCAAUCAAUCUACACAAAAGAGGUUACUUUUGGUAACAUAAUGUUUCAAUUGACUAAUUUAAAAUAUAAGAUGCGAAAAUAAUUAGCUCUUUAAGCCAUAUAUUUAAUCUUGACUGAAAAUUUACAUGUUUUGACAUGUAAAAUCUAAAUAUUAAUUGUUUUAAU
rnacentral:lncRNA from 1 species